UAGAGUUUGAUUAUGGCUCAGAUUGAACGCUGGCGGCAUGCCUUACACAUGCAAGUCGAACGCGAAAGCGGGGCAACCCGCAAGUAGAGUGGCGAACGGGUGAGUAAUACAUCGGAACAUAUCCAGUAGCGGGGGAUAACCUAUCGAAAGAUGGACUAAUACCGCAUACGAUCUACGGAUGAAAGCAGGGGACCGCAAGGCCUUGCACUAUUGGAGUGGCCGAUGUCGGAUUAGCUAGUUGGUGAGGUAAAGGCUUACCAAGGCGACGAUCCGUAGCUGGUCUGAGAGGACGAUCAGCCACACUGGAACUGAGACACGGUCCAGACUCCUACGGGAGGCAGCAGUGGGGAAUUUUGGACAAUGGGCGCAAGCCUGAUCCAGCCAUGCCGCGUGAGUGAAGAAGGCCUUCGGGUUGUAAAGCUCUUUCGGUGAAGACGAAACGGUUAGUGCUAAUAACACUGACUAAUGACGGUACUCACAGAAGAAGCACCGGCUAACUACGUGCCAGCAGCCGCGGUAAUACGUAGGGUGCAGGCGUUAAUCGGAAUUACUGGGCGUAAAGCGUGCGCAGGCGGUUUGCUAAGACAGGUGUGAAAUCCCCGAGCUUAACUUGGGAAUUGCGCUUGUAACUGGCAAGCUAGAGUGUGGCAGAGGGGGUGGAAUUCCACGUGUAGCAGUGAAUGCGUAGAUAUGUGGAGAACACCGAUGGCGAAGGCAGUCCCCUGGGUUAAUACUGACGCUCAUGCACGAAAGCGUGGGGAGCAAACAGGAUUAGAUACCUUGGUAGUCCACGCCCUAAACUAUGUCAACUAGUUGUCGGGGAAGUAGUACUUAGUAACGAAGCUAACGCGUGAAGUUGACCGCCUGGGGAGUACGGCCGCAAGGUUAAAACUCAAAGGAAUUGACGGGGACCCGCACAAGCGGUGGAUGAUGUGGAUUAAUUCGAUGCAACGCGAAAAACCUUACCUACCCUUGACAUGCUACGGAAGCCCGCCAGAGAUGUGGCGUGCCCGAAAGGGAACCUAGACACAGGUGCUGCAUGGCUGUCGUCAGCUCGUGUCGUGAGAUGUUGGGUUAAGUCCCGCAACGAGCGCAACCCUUGCCAUUAGUUGCUACAUUCAGUUGGGCACUCUAAUGGGACCGCCGGUGACAAACCGGAGGAAGGUGGGGAUGACGUCAAGUCCUCAUGGCCCUUAUGGGUAGGGCUUCACACGUAAUACAAUGGUCGGUACAGAGGGCUGCCAACCCGCAAGGGGGAGCUAAUCCCAGAAAGCCGAUCGUAGUCCGGAUUGUAGUCUGCAACUCGACUGCAUGAAGCCGGAAUCGCUAGUAAUCGCGGAUCAGCAUGUCGCGGUGAAUACGUUCCCGGGUCUUGUACACACCGCCCGUCACACCAUGGGAGUGGGUUCCACCAGAAGUAGUUAGCCUAACCGCAAGGAGGGCGAUUACCACGGUGAGAUUCAUGACUGGGGUGAAGUCGUCGUAACAAGGUAACCGUAA
rnacentral:rRNA from 1 species